rnacentral:rRNA from 1 species
UUGGGAGAGUUUGAUCCUGGCUCAGGACGAACGCUGGCGGCGUGCCUAAUACAUGCAAGUAGCGGACAGAAGGGAGCUUGCUCCCGGAUGUUAGCGGCGGACGGGUGAGUAACACGUGGGUAACCUGCCUGUAAGACUGGGAUAACUCCGGGAAACCGGAGCUAAUACCGGAUAGUUCCUUGAACCGCAUGGUUCAAGGAUGAAAGACGGUUUCGGCUGUCACUUACAGAUGGACCCGCGGCGCAUUAGCUAGUUGGUGGGGUAAUGGCUCACCAAGGCGACGAUGCGUAGCCGACCUGAGAGGGUGAUCGGCCACACUGGGGACUGAGACACGGCCCAGACUCCUACGGGAGGCAGCAGUAGGGAAUCUUCCGCAAUGGACGAAAGUCUGACGGAGCAACGCCGCGUGAGUGAUGAAGGUUUUCGGAUCGUAAAGCUCUGUUGUUAGGGAAGAACAAGUGCGAGAGUAACUGCUCGCACCUUGACGGUACCUAACCAGAAACCACGGCUAACUACGUGCCAGCAGCCGCGGGA